rnacentral:rRNA from 1 species
AUGGCAAUGGGCGACGAAACUGUGCUGGAGCAUAUACUCAACGGAGACGAGGAACCCAAGGAUCUGCCAUUACCGCUCUUACAAAGCAUCACCAAUCAUUUCUCUCCAGACAGAGAAAUUGGUCAUGGUGGAUUUGGAGUGGUUUACAAGGGUGAACUCCAAAAUGGGACUAUUGUUGCUGUUAAGAGGAUUGAAGUCAACCAAAUCACAAUUGAUGAUGUGUCAUUUCGCCGUGAGUUUAAUAGCCUCAUCAACAUCAACCAUCCAAAUGUAGUCCGGUUUCUUGGCUUCUGUUCUAAUACACAUCAUAUACCGAGAAAAGAGGGUGGAGAAAUUAGCCUUGUCAACGUAAGAGAAAGAUUGCUCUGUUUUGAGUACAUCAGCAAUGGAAGUCUUGAUAAGCAUAUUACUGAUGAAUUAAGGGGGCUGGAAUGGGAACCACGUUAUGACAUAAUCUCUGGAAUUUGCAAGGGUCUGUUUUACCUUCACGAGGAAAAAAAUAUUGUUCAUAUGGAUCUUAAACCGCCAAAUAUAUUACUUGAUGAUCAUAUGGUUCCAAAAAUUACUGAUUUUGGGUUGUCGAGAUCAAAUGAAAUGUCGCAUACUACAGGUCAACGUUUUGGAACACCAGGAUAUGUCGCUCCAGAAUACAAUGAAGACGGCAAAACUUCAUUCAAGUGUGACAUAUACAGUUUGGGUGUCAUAAUCACAGAAUUGGUAACGGGGCGUAGGAGCGUCCCUCACAAAAAUAAUGCAAGGGUAGUUCGAAGGUGGAGACACAGGUGGAAGAAGCCACCAACAUUACUACAAUACCAGCAAGUAACCAGAUGCAUUGAAAUAGCGGAACGGUGCAGGCAACAAGAACCGGAAGCUAGACCUUCUAUAGGUGAUAUAAUCAGCAUUCUGAGUGGAUCUGAAAGUACGGAUGGGCACACUGGCCAGGGAAGCACUUAUAUUGACGAUGACAUGCUUGGUAUUGAGCCACUCGAGCUUAAGUUUGAUGAGGAGAUGUCAUGGUCAGUUAAGCUAACCAAUAAGACAAAUGCUUGUUUUGCCUUCAGCAUUGAAAGACCAAGCAAGCAUUACACCAUACAGCCAGACGAAGGUAUUGUGACACCAGGAUGUAGUGAGUGUCUUGUUCAGAUAUCAGUGACAUCACCGCAAGUUGCACAGAAUGCUGACAAGCUCAUCGUGCGGAGCACAGAAGUGAAUGAGGGUCUUACAGUCGAAGAUAUCACUAAAGAUAUAUUCCAUGAAGUGGCCGGUAAAGUGAUUGAUGAGGUGGAUUUGACGCUUGUAUAUGAGCCCGUUAAGGCAGCCUCCCCCACGCGCAAGCUAUGA